rnacentral:rRNA from 1 species
UAGGGAAUCUUCGGCAAUGGACGAAAGUCUGACCGAGCAACGCCGCGUGAGUGAAGAAGGUUUUCGGAUCGUAAAACUCUGUUGUUAGAGAAGAACAAGGACGUUAGUAACUGAACGUCCCCUGACGGUAUCUAACCAGAAAGCCACGGCUAACUACGUGCCAGCAGCCGCGGUAAUACGUAGGUGGCAAGCGUUGUCCGGAAUUAUUGGGCGUAAAGGGCUUGUAGGCGGCUUGUUGCGCCUGCUGUGAAAACGCGGGGCUUAACUUCGCGCGUGCAGUGGGUACGGGCAGGCUUGAGUGUGGUAGGGGUGACUGGAAUUCCAGGUGUAGCGGUGGAAUGCGCAGAUAUCUGGAGGAACACCGAUGGCGAAGGCAGGUCACUGGGCCAUUACUGACGCUGAGGAGCGAAAGCAUGGGUAGCGAACAGG